GACGAAGGUGGCAAGCGUUGUUCGGAUUCACUGGGCAUAAAGGGCGCGUAGGCGGUUCCGAAGGUGGCGUGUGAAAUCCCCCGGCUCAACUGGGAGAGGUCUUCGGAUACGGGCGGACUCGAGGAAGGUAGAGGAAGGUGGAAUUCCCGGUGUAGUGGUGAAAUGCGUAGAGAUCGGGAGGAACACCGGUGGCGAAGGCGGAUCUCUGGGCCUUACCUGACGCUCAGGCGCGAAAGCUAGGGGAGCGAACAGG
rnacentral:rRNA from 1 species